AGGCUCUGGUUUCUCUUCAGAUCAUAUAAAUCUUUUGCCUUUUACUUGAGAUUUCCAUGGAGAGGAGUGGGCACAAGUGUUGAGACUCAUUUUGAGUCUCCAUUUCAGUGGGGC
rnacentral:snRNA from 1 species